UCUGGUUCGAGUCCAGGAUGGCCCACCUGAAGCAAUUAAAAAUUAGCAAUUAAAAAUUAAAGAUGAAUUGUGAUUUUUUAAUUUUGAAUUUUGAAUUUUUAAUUGUUUGGAUGGGGGUUUAGCUCAGUUGGUAGAGCGCCUGCUUUGCAAGCAGGAUGUCAGCGGUUCGAGUCCGCUAACCUCCACAUUGGCAAAAUUCAGCACCUCAAGCUAUGAAAAUAGUGGAGAAUGCUGGAUGAGAGUCCAGUCAGAACCUUGAAAACU
rnacentral:tRNA from 1 species